rnacentral:lncRNA from 1 species
GAUGGGGCGGUGGAAGCUAUGAAAAGAGGCAGGAAAAAAGUUCCUUUGACCCGAUGCUGUCAGAGAGCGUGCAUGAAGAAGAAAGUUAAUGGUAUUUCCAUUUAUAUAAGAAGCGCCUAAGAAAUGCCUGUGACGUUCGUGAACUAGUGAUUGUGAAUUCCAAAUUUGAUGCCAACUUUAUGUGUAAAGAAGCUAACUCCUGCCAACAUCGUGGCUGAAUGAACAGCUGGGACUAUGCUUAACCCAUUCCCAGCUUAUAAAAGCCCCAUGGCAGCUGCAGUGAAGCAUCAGAAAAGUAUAGUAAGAAGAAACUGAAUUUGAAGUGGAUUCUUACAAAGGAAAAAGAAAAUCACUAUUGUAACUAUACCAAAUUACUAUAUUAUGUGAUGCAACAAAAUUCAAAUAUGAAAACCAUCUCGGAGGCCGGGCGCGGUGGCUCACGCCUUUAAUCCCAGCACUUUGGGAGGCCGAGGUGGGUGGAUCAUUUGAGGUCAGAAGUUCAAGACCAGCCUGGCCAACACGGUGAAACCCUGUCUCUACUAAAAAUACAAAAAUUAACUGGGCGUGGUGGCACAUGCCUGUAAUCCCAGCUACUCGGGAGGCUGAGGCAGGAGAAUUGCUUGAACCUGGGAGGCGGAGGUUGCAGUGAGCCGAGAUCACGCCAUUGUUCUCCAGCCUGGGCAACAAGAGCAAAACUCUGUCUCAAAAAUAAAAUAAAAAAUUGCUUUAAAAAAUAAAAA